rnacentral:rRNA from 1 species
CCUACGGGUGGCAGCAGUGAGGAAUAUUGGUCAAUGGGCGGAAGCCUGAACCAGCCAAGUCGCGUGAGGGAAGACUGCCCUAUGGGUUGUAAACCUCUUUUGUCAGGGGGCAACGCCGGCUACGUGUAGCCGGACUGAGUGUCCCUGAAGAAAAAGCCUCGGAAAACCCCGUGCCAGGAGCCGGGGAAAUACGGAGGAUUCGAGCGGUAUAGGGUUUUUGUGGGUUGAGAGGGUGCGUAGGGGGAAUGCCAGGUCAGCGGUAAAAUCGCGGGGCCCAACCUCGCGCCGCCGUUGAAACUGGCGUUCUGGAGUGGGCGUGAAGUAGGCGGAAUGCGUGGUGUAGCGGUGAAAUGCAUAGAUAUCACGCAGAACUCCGAUUGCGAAGGCAGCAUACCGGCGCCCAACUGACGCUGAUGCACGAAAGCGUGGGUAUCGAACAGGAUUAGAUACCCCAGUAGUC